rnacentral:rRNA from 1 species
GACGUAGGGCGCGAGCGUUGUCCGGAUUUAUUGGGCGUAAAGAGCUCGUAGGCGGCUUGUCGCGUCGACUGUGAAAACCCGCAGCUCAACUGUGGGCUUGCAGCCGAUACGGGCAGACUUGAGGUAUUCAGGGGAGAACGGAAUUCCUGGUGUAGCGGUGAAAUGCGCAGAUAUCAGGAGGAAUACCGGUGGCGAAGGCGGCAUCCUGGACCGACAUUGACGCUGAACGGCGAAAGCUAGGGGAGCAAACGGG